UUCGUUUCUCCCAGGCGGCAAGUGUAGGGACUGGCGGCUGGCCUAACAGAGGCUAACCCUAGAGGCCUAGACCACAUGCCCUAGACGGCGAGGCGCACGGCUGGCGACGAGCGGACGCCAUCACACCAGGCGCUCAGCCGGCCAGGCAGUCUACUUGAGUACACGGCCCUCAACACCUCCUUCCUCUCAUUCGGCUUGGGCCGCCUCCGUGCCUUCUAGGACUUUGCCAACAUGACGAGUUUGCCUCUAUGCAAAGCUGGUUAUAUGUCUUGCUUUUGACAAUAAUGAACAAGUGAGAGAUGCUUUCAACCGUGAUGGAAGUAAUUGCACAAUGACAUCUGAAAUGUAGAGAAAGACUGCGUGCAAAAGACCCAAAGUAAUAAGACUCUUUCUCGGACCCUGCGCAAGUGGGAGCUACAUGCAUCGGGCUGCCCUUUUACACUUAGGCUCAACUUGCCCAGGCUUCACAAAAGUUCUGGCUCCGCCAGCUGCCCACCAUCGUCAGCUCCUCCGUUUGCCCGAACAACAGCAACUACGAGGCCGGCGCCUCCGCCCGCCCCUAUAACAGCAGCUGCACGGCCGACGCCUCCAUUUGCCCCCCAACAACAGCAGGUGCGUCGAUGGCGUCUCCAAGGAACCCGCCUCCUUAUGCAACUCCCUGGGCGCCGAGGUAGAGGCAAUCAUGCAAGGAUCUCCUGCUCCAACCUCCUGCUCAGACAUCACGGAGUGGAAGGCUUAACAUAAUUGAUUAUCUGAUGGGGAUGAAGCUAAAUCUUCUGCUGGAAAUGACUUCCCUGCUCUGAGGUGUGCUUUCUUCCUUUUCGUUUUCAUUUUCUGCUUUCAGAUGGUACUGUUCAGUUGGCAAAAUUUGCUUCUGAACUUGCUAGGUUGGCAAUUACUGAAACAGACUGCAAUCGAUAGAUGGAGACUGCGAAAUCAUGGUUAUUUGCUAGUAGAACACAUUAGACUUACAAAAAUAUCACUUAGAAUUCAGAAAUUAGAAGGGCCAUGAGUAUGACUGAUAUGAGAGGUAUUGUUUUGUACUUUGAAGAGAAAGAACAUAUAUAAGUUUGAGCAGUGAGUCACUGCCAGGUGGGAGUUUAGUUCCAAGGGUAAUUACGGCUCUUCGUCUUGUUUAUGUAAUUAUCAUAAAUUUCAGAAUAGUAUUGCAUUUUAAUUGGUCCAAUGUGCUCCAGCAAAUGACCCAAACGUUGUGGUAUCUGUAGAAGUGCAUGCUCUAGCCAAUGCAACCAAAAUACCGAUCUGAUGGAAGAGACUAGGCAGCACAUUAUACGUCAACACUCCCCCUCACGUGUGGCUCCCUCAGGCCUAAACAUGGACCGAAAGUGGGCUGCAAUUUAAUUGCACCAGCCGGGUCUUGAACUUGAGACCUCUUGGCUUUGAUACCAUGUAGAAGUGCAUGCUCUAGCCAAUGCAACCAAAAGACCGAUCUAAUGGAAGAGACUAGGCAGCACAUUAUACAUCAACAGUAUCUUUCAAUGGAUUGUUGAUUUUGUGAUGUGCUCGGGAAAUGCCAACCAAGUGUAGAAUCAGAGCCAGUUUUGCUUUUCUUUUAUCUGAUCACUUUCUAGAACUUCUAUACAUUUUAUUGUUGUGUCUCACCGUUGUAAUCUGGUUCCCCUGUAAUGCACUGUUUGUGAUCUUAUAUGUAAACUAGAGCACAUAAUGUUGAAUAAAUUUAGUUUCUGCAACUCCCAUUGCACCAGCCUAGAGAUUCUUGCUUGCAUAUUAUGGGGUAAAAUAAUAUCAAAUAAAAGAAUCACAUUGUGCAAUGGUUUUCGAAUCUUUUCUGUGUAGCAACCUAAUUUUCUUCAUGACUUUUUGUCAACUUUUUCAUUCCCUGGACAUGGCAUUAAUGUUCAUGUAGUCCUUUGAGAAAAAUGGUAAAAUAAGAAUGAAGAGUGUUAUUCUGUUUUAUCUCCAGAUAAUCUGUUUAGCCUCUUUAAUGUAAUCAGCCAGUGGAUCUUUUCUUUCGUUGUAUCUCCAGUGGGCAUCUUUCAACAACACAUCUGUGUUAGUUUAGUUUAUAUUCUUUCUUAUUUUUCUAUUGCAACCUGAUGUUAUUUUUCAAGGAUGGAUUGAACUGAAUACUGCUAAUAUUUUUUCAGUAUGUCAGAGUUUCUGAAUGCUCGCUGUAUCAUGGAUGUACUAGCAGAGAUGCUGAGUGCUUUAGACCUUGGAAACAGAGUGGUACAAAAUUCCAUCAGCCUGAUUUUAAUUCAACCUGCACAAAAUUAUGGACCUCUUAUCUCUAAAAAAUUGCAACCAACAGUUGAACAUGAUAUCCUGAUUUGACAUUUUAUGAUUUAUGAAAGAUAAUUCAUGUUCUCUUUUGGAAAUAUGUCCUGAGCGGUUUUAACUUCAGAUAUAACCUUGUUUUGAUCGCAUAAACUGAUUGUACUUCAAAAUAUGCUUUUGUACUACCACACAACAAAUUUUCCCUCAGCCUGUAGCUCUUUAAUAUGCAUAGAACUAUGUUAUCGGGUAUCUUCUCUAGUUUGUAGUAGUGCAGAGUGUAAACUAAUCUUUCUUCUCUUAAAAUUAUGUUCAUAUUCUAUAUAUAUGCACAGGUCUCAAUACAUUUCGAUUUUUGUUAUGAUCUUAUUUAAUCCAAUGAUUGAUGUAUGUUUUCAAGAGUUUUGCCAUGCAUCCUCUGUGGUUGUGAUCACUUCAUUAACACACUGAAUUUACUAAUGAUAAAUGCAGUAGAGAAAUGAAAAUUUGAGCUCAGAAUGUUGCGCACAUAUCAUUAUCAGGUUUCAGCAUCUCUAUUGUUGUUUUUAGGCUAAUUAUCUUUGAACCGCAUGUUUCCUUUGAAAUAUUUACAAGUUCAUCACUCUUUAUUAUCUGUAGAAUUAGAGGCGCCUUCUUAGUUUUCUGCUUCUUCCCACAAAUUAAGUAAUUCCUUUUCAUAUUUAUCGAUACAAUCGAGUGGUGGCCUGGUAUCUUUUUUUUUUCAUGUAAUUUCUGAAGUUGAAGGUGACACUGAUGGGUCAUGCAAGUUGAAGGUGACAUUGACUGAAAGAAUCUUCAGUGUGUUGCCCCAUUUUUGUUAUAAUAUACGACCUUAGAUUUCUUGAUUUAGAAAAAAAUAUAUUCAUGUUCCUAGUUGCCUUCUCAUACGGCGUGUUUGUCAUCCUCAUUGGCAAACUGAUCAUAAUCUCAUUCCGCCGGUGUCAGUUAAUAUAUGUUUGCAUUGUCGCUACCUUACUCUUGCCGGAGAGGUGUACCUGUGUCUGAACUUUGCUGUGCUGAUGAUUUUUUAUGACAUGGAUGUGCUGAAUAAUAUGUGUCAUUCCCAUGCCUGUUUAGAUGAUCGCAGAUUCCUCUCUUAAAUUGGCUCUGACUCGGCAAGAAGAUUUUGGUGGCAGCUUACCGAUUUUACCGACAAACGGCUUACUUCAGAGCUUUAUGCAGAAGGACUCAUGUGGCUAUCAGAAGAAAAUUUGUCCAUUUUCGAACUUCAUGAGUUAUUUCUCUGGCCAUAUUUUAGUUCCCGGCUGUUCCAUCGUUGAACAUAUGAAGCCUCGGCUGGUCGAUUCUUACGAAAGUUUGCGGACUUGUGUUCAGAGUUUUAGAUGUUCGUUUUCAUAGCCUGCAGCUUCAGACAGGUAUUCAUUCAACCCCACAUGACAGAUAUACCGAAUUGAAACACUCUCAUUGUGCUGC